UACGUAGGUGGCAAGCGUUGUCCGGAAUUAUUGGGCGUAAAGCGCGCGCAGGCGGUCCUUUAAGUCUGAUGUGAAAGCCCACGGCUCAACCGUGGAAGGUCAUUGGAAACUGGAGGACUUGAGUACAGAAGAGGAAAGCGGAAUUCCACGUGUAGCGGUGAAAUGCGCAGAUAUCAGGAGGAACACCAGUGGCGAAGGCGGUGGUCUGGGCCGGAACUGACGCUGAGGAGCGAAAGCGUGGGUAGCAAACAGG
rnacentral:rRNA from 1 species